rnacentral:rRNA from 1 species
UACGUAGGGUGCGAGCGUUGUCCGGAAUUAUUGGGCGUAAAGAGCUCGUAGGCGGUUCAGUAAGUCAGGUGUGAAAUCUUUGGGCUUAACCCAAAGCGUGCACUUGAUACUGCUGUGACUUGAGUUCGGUAGGGGAGUGGGGAAUUCCUAGUGUAGCGGUGAAAUGCGCAGAUAUUUAGGAGGAACACCGGUGGCGAAGGCGCCACUCUGGGCCGAAACUGACGCUGAGGAGCGAAAGCGUGGGUAGCAAACAGG